CACCCAGUAGAUCCAAAAGUGGUAGGGCCUGAUACUUCCUGCAUCUGCUCUCAUUGGACUAUUACCUAUCGAGAGAUGGAAGAGCCUCAGCCGACUCUUGAAGUGGAAGUAAAGACGAGGGAGGAAGUUCUCCAGCUGACCAGCUUUCCCCAACAUCGAAAGGACCACAGCAAGGCCACCUGAGCUCCCCAGCAGACGUUCAGCUCCAAGGGAUUCACAGUUCUGGGGGGUGAUCUCUGAUGAACAUCCCAUUGACUCCGCUGGCACCUACCACGGGGAGAGCAACCUGCAGCUGUAGCGCAUCAACGUGUACUACAACGAGGCCAGCGGUGAGAACCCAGACCUUCUCCGAUCGCC